UACAGGGGGGGCAAGCGUUGUUCGGAAUUACUGGGCGUAAAGGGUUCGUAGGUGGCUCGCUAAGCCACACGUGAAAUCCCUCAGCUUAACUGGGGAACUGCGUGUGGGACUGGGGAGCUUGAGGACAGGAGAGGAAUGCGGAAUUCCAGGUGUAGCGGUGAAAUGCGUAGAUAUCUGGAGGAACACCGGUGGCGAAGGCGGCAUUCUGGACUGUAUCUGACACUGAUGAACGAAAGCCAGGGGAGCAAACGGG
rnacentral:rRNA from 1 species